UGUAAGCGUAUACCAAAGUUGUUGCAGUUAAAACGCUCGUAGUCGGAAUUUGGCAGUUCCGGAUGUGUGCACGUCGUGUGCGCACUUCGCGGGGAUUGCUUUUGUGGUCUUGCGUAGGAUGAGGAACUUUUAUUAGUGAACGUCCUCACGCAACCACUUUUUACUGUGAGAAAAUCAGAGUGCUCAAAGCAGGCAUUUGCCGUGAAUGUAUUAGCAUGGAAUAAUAGAAUAGGACUUGGUUCUAUUUUGUUGGUUUGUUGGGACUGAGUAAUGAUUAAGAGGGACAGUUGGGGGCAUUUGUAUUUCGGUGCUAGAGGUGAAAUUCUUAGAUUACCGAAAGACAAACUGCUGCGAAAGCGUCUGCCAAGGAUGUUUUCAUUGA
rnacentral:rRNA from 1 species